AGGUCGCGUCGUCCGACCCCGUCGCAAAUGCAUAGCCGUUCGGGAAGAACUGAAAGCCCACACCAAGAGAAAUCAAUCCAAGUUCUGUCUGCUGCUGUCCCAGCCCAAAUUCGAGGAGCGCAAAUGUAAGCUUGCUGCGAAGCCAUGCCCCAGUGCAAGCUCUGCUGAUGCUGCAACGAUUCACGCAAAGGUUCGCGUUACGAAGAUGUCGACUAUAGCUGAGCAUGUCAAAUUCUUUGGUCACUUUGGAUCAUACAAUUUCUCGGUUAGUACGUUUUUUAUCAAAACAUAUGGACGUCAUACGUAACUGUUCGUGGUGCAACCGUUGAUUUAUCACCUAAAGCGACCAGCCCUAACAAUGACACCAUGUAAAAGGCAUAUUUCUAUUGCUGAAAGGCUUUCAAAUGAAACGGUGAAAUAAUGUACUAACUUUAUUUCACACUACUGUCGCACUUGCACAUAUUUUAAGGAACUGUUUUGUUCGGGUGCUCUAGCAACAUUGAGGCUGCUGGCUGCAGCGUUUUUGUCAUGGCGAACGACUGUCACUUGUCGUAGGAAAAUAAAUACUUUCACAAAA